AUGCAGUCGAGGGGUAGCAGGGUAGCAAUACCGCUGACGACCGGCAAACGGGUGCGGAACACGUACACAACCUUCCUUUUAGCGGGGGAUAGCCCAGAGGAAUUUGGAUUAAUACCCCAUAGAAUAUUGAGUAGGCAUCUAUUUAAUAUUAAAGAUUUAUCACUAGAAGAUGGGUGUGCGGCUGAUUAGAUAGUUGGCGGGGUAACGGCCCACCAAGUCAGCGAUCAGUAACUGGUGUGAGAGCAUGACCAGUCACACGGGCACUGAGACACGGGCCCGACUCCUACGGGAGGCAGCAGUAAGGAAUAUUGGACAAUGGUCGGAAGACUGAUCCAGCCAUGCCGCGUGGAGGAUGAAGGCCCUCUGGGUUGUAAACUUCUUUUAUUGGGGGCGAAAAAAGGGAAUUCUUUCUCACUUGACGGUACCCAAUGAAUAAGCACCGGCUAACUCCGUGCCAGCAGCCGCGGUAAUACGGAGGGUGCAAGCGUUAUCCGGAUUCACUGGGUUUAAAGGGUGCGUAGGCGGGUAUGUAAGUCAGUGGUGAAAUCUCCGAGCUUAACUUGGAAACUGCCAUUGAUACUAUAUAUCUUGAAUGCUCUGGAGGUUUGCGGAAUAUGUCAUGUAGCGGUGAAAUGCAUAGAUAUGACAUAGAACACCUAUUGCGAAGGCAGCAGGCUACAGAGAAAUUGACGCUG
rnacentral:rRNA from 1 species